ACAGAAACUAAAACAGGAAGUACCGGUGCUAAGGUCCAUUCAGCACAAGUCUGACCAUUCGGAAUACAUGCUUCAAGACUGUUUUGAUCACGCGGACUGGGAUAUGUUCCGGGUUGCCUCGGAUAAUAACAUUGAUGUAUACACGGACACGGUGGCUGAGUUUAAAAGGAAGUGUAUAGGGGAUGUUGUUCCCACUGUGACUAUUAAAACCUACUCAAACCAGAAACCGUGGAUAGAUGGCAGCAUUUGUGCUAAACUGGAAGCGCGAAGCACCGCAUUUAACCAUGGCAAGGUGACUGGGAAUAUGGUUGAAUACAAACAGUGUAGUUAUUCCCUCCGUAAGGCAAUCAAACAGGCAAAACGUCAGUACAGAGACAAAGUGGAGUCGCAAUUCAACGGCUCAGACACAAGACGUAUCUGGCAGGGUCCACAGACAAUCACAGAUUACAAAGGGAACACCAGCCACGUCGCGGACACCGAUGUCUUGCUCCCAGACAAGCUAAACACCUUCUUUGCCCGCUUUGAGGAUAACACAGUGCCAUCGACACAGUCCGCUUCCAAGAACAGUGGGCUCCCCUUCGCCGUGGCUGACGUACCAAAAGGGGGUUGGCAUCAAUCAGAGAGGAGCUGUCAGUGGUGCAGAAGUUCCAGUCCUACACCCAAGAUGCCGACCAGAACUACGACUUUGCCAGCAACAGUGUCGUCCAGCAUCUUGAGCCCGGCGAUGAGAUCUACAUCAAGCUGGACCGGGGAUAAGGCAAGAAGUACAGCACCUUCUCCGGCUUCAUAGUCUACGCCGAUGAACAGAUCAUCUAUUUUACGCU
rnacentral:lncRNA from 1 species